rnacentral:rRNA from 1 species
GACGAACGCUGGCGGCGUGCUUAACACAUGCAAGUCGAACGGAAAGGCCCUGCUUUUGUGGGGUGCUCGAGUGGCGAACGGGUGAGUAACACGUGAGUAACCUGCCCUUGACUUUGGGAUAACUUCAGGAAACUGGGGCUAAUACCGGAUAGGAGCUCCUGCUGCAUGGUGGGGGUUGGAAAGUUUCGGCGGUUGGGGAUGGACUCGCGGCUUAUCAGCUUGUUGGUGGGGUAGUGGCUUACCAAGGCUUUGACGGGUAGCCGGCCUGAGAGGGUGACCGGCCACAUUGGGACUGAGAUACGGCCCAGACUCCUACGGGAGGCAGCAGUGGGGAAUAUUGCACAAUGGGCGGAAGCCUGGUGCAGCAACGCCGCGUGCGGGAUGACGGCCUUCGGGUUGUAAACCGCUUUCGCCUGUGACGAAGCGUGAGUGACGGUAAUGGGUAAAGAAGCACCGGCUAACUACGUGCCAGCAGCCGCGGUGAUACGUAGGGUGCGAGCGUUGUCCGGAUUUAUUGGGCGUAAAGGGCUCGUAGGUGGUUGAUCGCGUCGGAAGUGUAAUCUUGGGGCUUAACCCUGAGCGUGCUUUCGAUACGGGUUGACUUGAGGAAGGUAGGGGAGAAUGGAAUUCCUGGUGGAGCGGUGGAAUGCGCAGAUAUCAGGAGGAACACCAGUGGCGAAGGCGGUUCUCUGGGCCUUUCCUGACGCUGAGGAGCGAAAGCGUGGGGAGCGAACAGGCUUAGAUACCCUGGUAGUCCACGCUGUAAACGGUGGGUACUAGGUGUGGGGUCCAUUCCACGGGUUCCGUGCCGUAGCUAACGCUUUAAGUACCCCGCCUGGGGAGUACGGCCGCAAGACUAAAACUCAAAGGAAUUGACGGGGCCCCGCACAAGCGGCGGAGCAUGCGGAUUAAUUCGAUGCAACGCGUAGAACCUUACCUGGGUUUGACAUGGAUCGGGAGUGCUCAGAGAUGGGUGUGCCUCUUUUGGGGUCGGUUCACAGGUGGUGCAUGGCUGUCGUCAGCUCGUGUCGUGAGAUGUUGGGUUAAGUCCCGCAACGAGCGCAACCCUUGUUCACUGUUGCCAGCACGUUAUGGUGGGGACUCAGUGGAGACCGCCGGGGUCAACUCGGAGGAAGGUGGGGAUGACGUCAAGUCAUCAUGCCCCUUAUGUCCAGGGCUUCACGCAUGCUACAAUGGCUGGUACAGAGAGUGGCGAGCCUGUGAGGGUGAGCGAAUCUCGGAAAGCCGGUCUCAGUUCGGAUUGGGGUCUGCAACUCGACCUCAUGAAGUCGGAGUCGCUAGUAAUCGCAGAUCAGCAACGCUGCGGUGAAUACGUUCCCGGGGCU